GAGUAUUCGAGUCUCUCCACCGUGACAUGAUGGUGGGGUUCGGAAAAUGGGAUUUUGAUCCUAUGGAUCUUAAGAACCCUUUCCCAAAUGGUGAAGGUUCGGUCCACUUGUGGCAUGGUGACGAAGACUGGGUUGUACCUGUUAUGUUACAGCGUUAUGUUGCAGAAAGGCUUCCAUGGAUACAAUACCAUGAAAUGCCCAAUGUUGGACAUCUAGUUAUGCAUGAUCCAGCCAUGAAUGAGGUUAUCUGGAAGACAUUUUUGACUGGAGAGGAAGAACAAAUAGUGCAUUCUUAAAGAGGAAAACUGAAAUUAUCUAUUAAGCAAAAUCUUUCUAAAUAGUUCUUUGUAAGAAUUAUGUACAUCUUGUAAGAAUACCAAACCAUUAAAAAAUAUCCACAAUUUUUUAUGAAAUUAUGAAGGAGUUAUAAUUUGAUUGGAAUUUGCAACAGAGUUGUUUAGAAGUCUUGAAAUGUAAAUUAUUCAAAGGGUGACAUAGUAACUAGAAUUUGGACAGAACAAGAUACUUGAAGUUUAAAGGGAUUCAGAAGUAGUUAAUAUAAGGCAUAAUACAUAAACAUGACCCUUAACUUGGUUUCAACAGACAACUAUGCCUUCCAACUUUGAGUGUGCACAAGUAUGCACUAGAACUUGUAUAAAAUUGAACAAGUAGACACACAUGUCUCACAUGGCAUAACCUACCAAUCACCAAGCAACCCCCCCCCCACCCCUCUUCACCCCACUACCCCCAAAAUCCCAUUUGCAUAAUUAUUUAUCAAAACAUUUAGUCAUAAUACAUAAACAUGACCCUUAACUUGGUUUCAACAGACAACUAUGCCUUCCAACUUUGAGUGUGCACAAGUAUGCACUAGAACUUGUAUAAAAUUGAACAAGUAGACACACAUGUCUCACAUGGCAUAAUACAUGUAGGACACAAAAUUGCCACGUAGGGUGCCAUGUAGGACGAAUGUGUCUAUUUGUUCAAUUUUAUACAAGUUUAAGUGUCUACUUGUGCACACCCAAAGUUAAAGGUCAUAAUUGUCAAUUGACGUCAAGUUAAGGGUCAUGUUUAUGCAUUAUGAUGUUAAUAUAAUAUUGUUUUACUUAUGCACCGAAUACUUGAAAAACAUGGAGAUACUAAAUUUUCUCCUUCAAGGGAAUAGUAACUUGUGGUUUCCACAUCAAAAUAGUUUUUUUUCAUAAUUGAGAAAUAGAGUUACUACCACAUAGUUCGAAACAUGGUGGAUUAUUUAUCCAUUUCUAAUUUAAUACUAGGCCUUUAUUUGCGAUAAAGCUAAGAUCAAACUUGUGAUGUGCGUCUAAUUCAUUAAAAAUAUUGCUAAGUACAAUAAGGUCCAUGUAACUCAAUAUUAUACUAUAAUAAAUAGUAAUACACUUUCAAUAAAGUAUAUAUAUAUUAUAGUAAUACACUUCUAAUUACUUAAACAUUAGCAAUUAGAUGAAAACACCAAUUCUUUGAUUAUAAUAAUUUGUCAUUUUUUUUAUAAUAAAAAGAUUUGUACUUUGCUGUCAAUUUUUUUCUUCCCUGUAAUACAUGUUUAGAGGUAUAGGACAAGGAGGUGGUGGGAGACGACCACGAGAAGGGUAGGUGGGUGUAAACUUUUUUUUAUUAAAAAAUAAUCCACUAUGUAGAUUUUAGUAGAUAUAUUUUAUUAAAUGUAUAUAUAAUAUAUAAAGGUCAAUUACAUGAUGCAUUUUAUUAAAUGUAUAAUAUACAAAAGUCAAUUACACGUCAAGCAUGUGGAAUUUUUUUUUCUUUGUUAUUCAUCAACACUAUAUCACCUUCAAUUCUACCCACCACCAUUAUCAAUAUGAUUUUUUUUCUUCAUCACCUUCAAUUACCCAUCACCACCAAACUCAUAAAGUUGUCAUCACCACCAAAUUCAAAAAUUAAUUAACAAUCAAAAUUUCUUUAACAAAAUCAAAAAAGGAAAAAUAUAGAAACAAUCAAUUGAAACUUUUUUAGAUAAAAUAUAAUUAUUCACUAACAAAUCUAUGAAAAUUAACCUAAUUAUGAAUUAAAAAAAAUAAAGAAGUAAGAUGAAAAUAAAGAAUGAAGAAGAAAAUGAUAAGUGGGUGUGAAGAAGAAGAGACGUAGGCGGUAGGGUUGGUAAACGGAUUCUAAUUUAUUUAUUUUUACUUUUAUUUCAAACUGAUGCGUCUAUUUUUUAUUUUUGUUUUAUUUUUUUGCCACAUCAGUUAUAGGGCUUGAAAAAAACUCACUUUAAAAUAGUAUAUGUAUGUAAUAGAGCAUUGCGAUAAUUUAAGUGUGUAACUGAUUUUUCGAAGCAAAUUUGAGGAAUUUAUGUCUUUUCCCUUUUAAUUAUAAAGUUCAACAUAAAGCAAAAUGAGAAUGAUAAUGUACGCUACUACUUUUCAUACCAAAUUUGGUUUCUCCUUUCUGUCUCCAUUUAUUCAAAAGGUAGUUCACCCACCAUUAUUGACCUCUUCAAAAUCUUUAUAUACUUCUAACAAAUUCAAUCAAACAUCUGUCUUCUCACUCAUUAAAGCUCAACAUUUCAAUAUUCUCCCAACAAAGCCAUUUAAUCAUCUUCAAGAUUCCAUUUUUUUUCAUUCCAAUUCUAGUCAAGGUAUGUUACUGUACAAUUUGAAUACACCCAAUUUGUUAUCUUGUUUAGUAGUCAAUAAAUUAGGUUGAGAACCACGAUGUCUCAGGUUCAAACCCCGAGACAAAAACACCAGUUAAUUUAUUUUCAUUUGUCUUAACUUUGUGCAACUUUAGUGGACAGAGUUAGUUGGUACGGUAGAGAGGUGACAACUAUACUACUCCUUUCCUUUAUUUUUAUAUGUCAUUCCCUUCUGUAAAUAGUUGGACUAUAAUACUUGUCAUUUUAUAAAAUCAUUACGUAAAUUACCAUAUUCUUACUAUUAUACCCUUGAUAGAGUAGUUAAUUAGCCUUGAAAAUAUAUAUUUUGACCUACCUGGGAAAUCUAAUAAGUAAUUAUAUUCAUUGGAGUACUUCAUACAUUGAUUAAUUAUUCUCUCUCCAUUCACUAUUCUAUAAAAUCUGCUUUUGAAAAUAAACUCAAAAAUUUAAAUAGUCAUCCAAAUGCAUUUUAAUAUUUGAAAUCUAGCAUAUUCAUCAUUUAUUGAAAAGUUGACUUAAGAAAACAUUAAAUAAGGAUAAAAUGGUAAAGUUCCUUAAUUUCUUAAUGCAAGUGCAAUCUUAAAAUGUGACAUAUAAAAGGAACGGAGGGAGUAUGGAAUUAGUGGAGGUGAGCGCAAAUUGGCCCACAUAUAAUGAUUAUAAAAAAAAAAUAUGAAGAGGAGGAGAAUUUUGUUAAAAAGAGGAGAGGGUGUUACAGUAAGUUGACUUUUAGCAUAAAAAUAAUCAAAUUGAUCAGUUUCUAUUUACUGAAUUGUGGGGAAUGGUUUUAGAAGAUUCAUGCAACUACAUUGAUUGAGCAAAUGAUUUUUACUAAGGGGUUUCAAAAUACGAAAAAUCAAACAUACGAAGAUACCUUGACCUUAUGUAUAUACUUCAAUCUUUUUGAAGGAGGAAGUUUGGAUGAACCCUUGAGGUACCAUAGUAUUAGAAUUAUGAGAACGAGGAGGAUUAGAGUGGGAAUGUAGCCAGUUUUUGCGUGGCUGAGAAUGAAAUGUCUCUUGGCAAAGACAGAACUAGAUUUCGAGUUUAUAGGUUCAGGAUUCUAGAAAAGAUCACAGCUUUAUAGUUUCUUGUUUAAGAAAUUUAUAUUAUUAAGUGUAUUUUCAAAUACAUUAUCAUCUCCUUGCCACCUUCUAGGCAAAAUCUUUCCAGAAAUGUUCUGUUUUCUCAACUAAACCAUCAGUAUAUAUCUUAGGUUGCACUAUGUCAUCUACAUAUUCCAAUAAUAUUGUAAGAGUUAUGUCUACGUUGUGUUCAGGUAUGCUCGGGAAAGUUUUAGUUGUCUUGUUGGUUUCAGGUCUAGCAUGGGCAUUCCCAGCCCUCCUACCUCCACCUCCCAGAAUCUGUGGCUCUCCUGAUGGUCCAACAGUUACCGGACCUAGAAUCAAACUUAGGUAUGGAAGACAUUUGGCUUAUAAGGAGCAUGGUGUACCCAAAGAAACGGCCAAAUAUAAGGUCGUAUAUGCACAUAGCUUUGGUUCUACGAGAUAUGAGUCAGCUAUUGCAUCCUUGGUGUGUCAUCAACUCUUUGUCAAACUCGUACUUCUGCAUCCUUUUUGAGUAUAAUUGAACUGAGAUUAUAACGGUUUAUUGAUGUUUUUUUAGGAAACACUUGAAGAAUUAGGGGUGUAUGUUGUCUCUUUUGAUAGACCUGGUUAUGGGGAAAGCGAUCCACAUCCAAAACGAACCAUACAAACUACAGCUUUGGAUAUGGAAGAGCUUGCUGAUCAACUCGGACUUGGCCCAAAAUUUUAUGUUAUGGGGUAUUCCAUGGGUGGUCAUUCAGUUUGGGGUUGCCUUAAGUACAUCCCUAAUCGGUAUGUCUGGAAAUCACUUUUCAUGAGCGAUACGCUUCAUGAGAUCUUGUCCUUAACAUUCAUCUGACAUGUCAUCAUUAUCAUAACCUAUCACACACAAUGUAAAAGACCUUAGAAUCAACAGACAAAGAGGAAGCUUUGAUUUAUAGCAAAGCGUUUCGAACAUGAAACCAACUGUUCUACAGUUACAGUAGAUUGUUGGUAUUACGCAACUCAACAACAACAACAUACCAAGUGUAAUUCCACAAGUGGGGUCUGGAGAGGGUAGUGUGUACGCAACCUUCUUUUUUUAUGGUUUCUCCUGUGUAUACAACCUUACCCCUACCUUAUGUAGGUAAAAAGAUUGUUUCCGAUAGACCCUUGGCUCAAGUAAAGCAGAAUCAAAAAAUAAGUAGAACAAAAACAAUAGCGAAAAAGCCAUGCUAAAAACAAUUAAAAUAGAACAAGUAGCAACAACAAAAUGUAAGGUUACUGAAGCAAAGGAAACAACAAGUAACACUAGAAUCGAAGAAUAAGAUAGUAGGAGAGUAGUAAUAAUAAUAUUGAUAGGGGCCCAGACAAUACUCGACUACUUACUAACCUUCUUUCCUAAUCCUCAACCUCCAUAUCUUCCUAUCUAGGGUCAUGUCCUCGAUAUUACACGACUUGAUCAAAUCAAAGUCCCUCUGAACGAUUUAUAUACUACUUUCUUUUGGUCAUUGCUAUUCUCAACAACAGCAGCAAGACUUCUAGUAUUCUCUGUUUUUUAUUGUUUCCUACAUCUUGUUUUGGUUCUAAUAGGUUAGCUGGAGCAGCUCUAGUUGCUCCCGUUGUCAAUUACUGGUGGCCUAGCUUUCCUGCUAAUUUAUCCACAGAAGGAUACAAUCUACAGCUCACACAGGACCAAUGGGCACUUCGAGUUGCACAUUAUGCGCCUUGGCUAGUCUACUGGUGGAACACUCAGAAGUGGUUCCCGUACAAUAGUGUUUUAUCUGGAAAACUCAAAAUGUCUCCCCCAGAUUUAGAAGUUGUUUCCAGAUCUGCUAAGCAUGCAAACGAAAUGCAAAAACUAAAGGUAAUUUACUGUUAUAUUGCUGUCACUUCAUGAUCCCUUCCAUGUGUUUGAUCCUUGUAAUAAAUUUGCUGGUAGAAUUUGUAAUUGCUUGGAAUUUCGUUCCGACUCAUAGUAAAUUGGAGUUCUAUUCUUGCUCGUGUUAAAUGUUUUUUCGUUAUUUUUUUAAAAAUUUAGUGUUAAAUUAGGUCUUAGGCCUAACUCGCACCCCAAAAGCUAGCCCAUGAGGGGAGAAUUACCCAAGUCCAUAUAAGGAAUCUACCCAUCUCAUUACCACCAAUGUGGGACUUUUGUCAUUCUUCAACGUCCCACCUCACGCCUAGUGCUUAGCAUCUGGUGCAUGGACAAUUUUUUAUUUUGGGGGCCCAACAUUAGGUGAGAUGGGCUCUGUUCAGAUACCAUGUUAAAUGAGGUCUUAGGCCUAACUCACACCCCAAAAGCUAGCUCAUGAGGGGAGGAUUGCCAAAGUCCAUAUAAGGAGUCUACCCAUCUUAUUAACCACCAAUAUGAGACUUUUGUCAUUCUUCAACGGUUAAGAAGACCCUCAUUGGUAGAGGGAUGAGAAAUUGGUCUCCUUAUAUGGACUAGGACAAACCUCCCCCAUGAGUUAGACUUUGAAGUUGAGUUAGGCCCAGGUGCUAUAUCUUUACAUGGUAUUAGAGCCAAGUCUAUCCCCAUGUGGACUCUUGAUCCACGCUUCAGUUGGGCCUGGGUGUGAAGGGGGUGUUUGAGUUAAAAGUCUCAUAUUGGUUGGGGAAUGGAUGGGUGGUCUCCAUAUAUGGACUUGGACAAUCCUUCUCUUAUGAACUAGCUUUUGGGAUUGAGUUAGGCCCAGGUACCAUAUUUUUUCAUGAUAUCAGAGUCAGGCCCAUCCCAAUUUGUUGUUCAUCGAUGUUGUGCCUCCAUCUAUAAGUAUUCACGUUCCAGUUGUUGUUGUUCACCAAUGUUGGGCCCCCAUUUAUAAGUGUUCACUCUCCAGUUGAGUUUUGAGGGUGUUUUAAGAAGUCCCACAUCGGUAGAGGGAUGGACAAUUGUCUCCUUAUAUGGACUUGAACAAAUUUCCCCUCAUGAGCUAGCCCUCGAGGUUGAGUUAGGCCCAUGCGUCAUAUCUUUAUGGUUAGAAGGACCACUAGGGGUGAAAAAACCAUACAAGUAACAAUUUUAUAUUUGUUUGCCUAUGACCACUAGCAGUGUGUUGUAUUCUGUUCAUAUUAGUAGAAGUAGUAGUGUACUUGGUAACUUCCCAUACCCACUCAGUAUGUUGUGCCUAUGAUCUGUGGUAUAUUGUCUUGGGUUGUUUGUUAUGCUCCUGAGGAAGAACUUUUUCAUCUGAAAGUGAAAAGUAUGUUGCUACUAGGGAGACGAACAAUACAGACCGGGAAGUUAAAAGUGUUAUUGCGGAAUUGAUCACUAAAGUAACACACAACUAAGAAUUACGUUCAUACGUUAUUGCAUAUGUGAUAAGGCAUUGUUGGCUCAAAAGUUUCUGUUUCUUUCAUCUGUAUCUGUAGGAAUAUGCUGUAAAGCAAGGAGUAUUUGAGUCCCUUCACCGUGACAUGAUGGUGGGUUUCGGGAAAUGGGAUUUUGAUCCUAUGGAUCUUAAGAACCUUUUCUCAAAUGGUUCGAUCCACUUGUGGCAUGGUGAUGAAGACUGGGUUGUGCCUGUUAUAUUACAGCGUUACGUCGUAGAAAGGCUUCCAUGGAUAAACUACCAUGAAAUACCUAAUGUUGGACAUCUAGUUAUGCAUGAUCCAGCCAUGAAGGAGGUUAUCUGGAAGACAUUUUUGACAGGAG
rnacentral:lncRNA from 1 species